AAUGAACGCUGGCGGCAGGCCUAACACAUGCAAGUCGAACGGGUCCUUCGGGACUAGUGGCGGACGGGUGAGUAACGCGUGGGAACGUGCCCUUUGCUACGGAAUAGCCCCGGGAAACUGGGAGUAAUACCGUAUAAGCCCUACGGGGGAAAGAUUUAUCGGCAAAGGAUCGGCCCGCGUUGGAUUAGGUAGUUGGUGGGGUAAUGGCCUACCAAGCCGACGAUCCAUAGCUGGUUUGAGCGGAUGAUCAGCCACACUGGGAGUAGGACGCGACCCAGACUCCUACGGGAGGCAGCAGUGGGGAAUCGUAGACAAUGGGGGAAACCCUGAUCUAGCCAUGCCGCGUGAUCGAUGAAGGCCUUAGGGUUGUAAAGAUCUUUCAGGUGGGAAGAUAAUGACUGUACCACCAGAAGAAGCCCCGGCUAACUCCGUGCCAGCAGCCGCCGUAA
rnacentral:rRNA from 1 species